rnacentral:rRNA from 1 species
AUGCAUCUUGAUUCCACACAAUGUGUAUUAUGUGAUGCUGAAGACUAUGAGGACAGAAUUCAUCUUCUUUUCUCUUGCCCAUUUAGCCAGGGAUUUUGGUGGAACAUUGGUUUUGAAUGGAACAUUGAUCUGAAUAUCCAUGAUAUGAUUAUUGAAGCCCAGCAAAGAUACAAAAUUCACCAUUUCAUGGAAAUUCUAAUUAUUGGAUGCUGGAGUAUAUGGAAUCAAAGGAAUGAUCUGAUAUUUGAAGGGAUCCCUUGCUCUAUUAAUGACUGCAGAUAUGAAUUUAUCAAGACUUUCAAAUUGACAAUGUUAAGAGCCAAGCCAAGUUUAAAGGAAGGAAUGUCUUCGUGGAUUGAUAACAUUUAA